AUCGGUACUCUCAUUUCUGUAACAUCCCAAAAUUUCAAAUUCUUUCAUAUGCAUUGCAUCCAUGAGCAUCAUGCCACAAUUGCAUAUUUGAAUUCAAAUUUGAAUCUCAAAAGGCUUUGAAAAGACUUUAUUUCAAUUUAAACCCUAGGGUUUACACCCAUUUGAGCUUUGGAUCUUCAAACCAAUAAGGUUUACUUAUAAAAGGGGUUUAUUGCAUAAAUAAGCUAUCCCAUAAUUUUUGGAUAAUUAUUUGGAGUUGAAAACCUAUUUUAUUUAAAUAGUUUUAUAGCCCUAAAGGCAUUUAUAGGGCCAAUGUAUUUUUAUAUAUUUUAUUUUGAGGCGAAAUUGCUCCCAAAAGUUGAAACAUGAUAGAACAUGAUUUUACAAAUUUUCUGGAAUUUAUUUGGACCAAUUUGGAGUUCAAAAUCAAAAUUUAUCAAAGAAAUGAGAAAAAGGGAAAAAAAAGAAAAAAAAGGGUAAACCGGACCGGUGCGACCACUUGGGCCGAACCGGCCCAGAACCGACAGCGCCCGAACCAAACCAGCCUGCGCGCGCGCCCGCAGACGCUGAC
rnacentral:lncRNA from 1 species